rfam:Gossypium hirsutum cultivar TM-1 chromosome 22, whole genome shotgun sequence
AUGCCAUGAUGAGGACAUUUCUGCAACAGCUCCUUGAAUCGCUCUUAUGCAUCAUACAAAGAUUCUUUGUCAAAUUGCUAAAAUGUAGUGUUUUCAUUUCUCAGCUU